UGGGGAAUAUUGGACAAUGGGCGAAAGCCUGAUCCAGCCAUGCCGCGUGUGUGAAGAAGGUCUUCGGAUUGUAAAGCACUUUAAGUUGGGAGGAAGGGCAGUAAAUUAAUACUUUGCUGUUUUUGACGUUACCGACAGAAUAAGCACCGGCUAACUCUGUGCCAGCAGCCGCGGUAAUACAGAGGGUGCAAGCGUUAAUCGGAAUUACUGGGCGUAAAGCGCGCGUAGGUGGUUCGUUAAGUUGGAUGUGAAAUCCCCGGGCUCAACCUGGGAACUGCAUUCAAAACUGACGAGCUAGAGUAUGGUAGAGGGUGGUGGAAUUUCCUGUGUAGCGGUGAAAUGCGUAGAUAUAGGAAGGAACACCAGUGGCGAAGGCGACCACCUGGACUGAUACUGACACUGAGGUGCGAAAGCGUGGGGGAGCAAA
rnacentral:rRNA from 1 species